rnacentral:rRNA from 1 species
ACAACGGAGAGUUUGAUCCUGGCUCAGGACGAACGCUGGCGGCGUGCUUAACACAUGCAAGUCUACGAGAAUUAAGUAGCAAUACUUUUAGUAAAGUGGCGCACGGGUGCGUAACACGUAAGCAAUCUACCCUUGGAUAUGGAAUAACCCGUUGAAAGACGGGCUAAUACCGUAUAAUGCAGCGGCACCGCAUGGUGAUGUUGUUAAAGCUCUUGAAGCGUCUAAGGAUGAGCUUGCGUCUGAUUAGCUAGUUGGUGGGGUAAUGGCCUACCAAGGCAACGAUCAGUAGCUGGUCUGAGAGGAUGAUCAGCCACACUGGAACUGAGACACGGUCCAGACUCCUACGGGAGGCAGCAGUGAGGAAUAUUGGGCAAUGCCCGCAAGGGUGACCCAGCAACGCCGCGUGGAGGAUGAAUGCCGUAAGGUU